rnacentral:rRNA from 1 species
UACGAAGGGGGCUAGCGUUGUUCGGAAUUACUGGGCGUAAAGCGCACGUAGGCGGAUAUUUAAGUCAGGGGUGAAAUCCCGCAGCUCAACUGCGGAACUGCCUUUGAUACUGGGUAUCUUGGGUAUGGAAGAGGUAAGUGGAACUGCGAGUGUAGAGGUGAAAUUCGUAGAUAUUCGCAAGAACACCAGUGGCGAAGGCGGCUUACUGGCUCGAAACUGACGCUGAGGCGCGAAAGCGUGGGGAGCAAACAGG